rnacentral:rRNA from 1 species
UUCGGAUUGCAGUCUGCAACUCGAGUGCAUGAAGCUGGAAUCGCUAGUAAUCGCGAAUCAGAAUGUCGCGGUGAAUACGUUCCCGGGUCUUGUACACACCGCCCGUCACACCAUGGGAGCCGACAACGCCCGAAGUCAGUGACCUAACCGAGAGGGAGGAGCUGCCGAAGGCGGGGUUGGUAACUGGGGUGAAGUCGUAACAAGGUAAC